CGUACAAGCAGUGGGAGCACAGAGCAAUCUGUGUGACUGCGUACCUUUUGUAUAAUGGGUCAGCGACUUAUAUUCUGUAGCAAGGUUAACCGAAUAGGGGAGCCGAAGGGAAACCGAGUCUUAACUGGGCGUUAAGUUGCAGGGUAUAGACCCGAAACCCGGUGAUCUAGCCAUGGGCAGGUUGAAGGUUGGGUAACACUAACUGGAGGACCGAACCGACUAAUGUUGAAAAAUUAGCGGAUGACUUGUGGCUGGGGGUGAAAGGCCAAUCAAACCGGGAGAUAGCUGGUUCUCCCCGAAAGCUAUUUAGGUAGCGCCUCGUGAAUUCAUCUCCGGGGGUAGAGCACUGUUUCGGCAAGGGGGUCAUCCCGACUUACCAACCCGAUGCAAACUGCGAAUACCGGAGAAUGUUAUCACGGGAGACACACGGCGGGUGCUAACGUCCGUCGUGAAGAGGGAAACAACCCAGACCGCCAGCUAAGGUCCCAAAGUCAUGGUUAAGUGGGAAACGAUGUGGGAAGGCCCAGACAGCCAGGAUGUUGGCUUAGAAGCAGCCAUCAUUUAAAGAAAGCGUAAUAGCUCACUGGUCGAGUCGGCCUGCGCGGAAGAUGUAACGGGGCUAAACCAUGCACCGAAGCUGCGGCAGCGACGCUGAUGCGUUGUUGGGUAGGGGAGCGUUCUGUAAGCCUGUGAAGGUGUGCUGUGAGGCAUGCUGGAGGUAUCAGAAGUGCGAAUGCUGACAUAAGUAACGAUAAAGCGGGUGAAAAGCCCGCUCGCCGGAAGACCAAGGGUUCCUGUCCAACGUUAAUCGGGGCAGGGUGAGUCGACCCCUAAGGCGAGGCCGAAAGGCGUAGUCGAUGGGAAACAGGUUAAUAUUCCUGUACUUGGUGUUACUGCGAAGGGGGGACGGAGAAGGCUAUGUUGGCCGGGCGACGGUUGUCCCGGUUUAAGCGUGUAGGCUGGUUUUCCAGGCAAAUCCGGAAAACUAAGGCUGAGGCGUGAUGACGAGGCACUACGGUGCUGAAGCAACAAAUGCCCUGCUUCCAGGAAAAGCCUCUAAGCAUCAGGUAACAUCAAAUCGUACCCCAAACCGACACAGGUGGUCAGGUAGAGAAUACCAAGGCGCUUGAGAGAACUCGGGUGAAGGAACUAGGCAAAAUGGUGCCGUAACUUCGGGAGAAGGCACGCUGAUAUGUAGGUGAAGUCCCUCGCGGAUGGAGCUGAAAUCAGUCGAAGAUACCAGCUGGCUGCAACUGUUUAUUAAAAACACAGCACUGUGCAAACACGAAAGUGGACGUAUACGGUGUGACGCCUGCCCGGUGCCGGAAGGUUAAUUGAUGGGGUCAGCGCAAGCGAAGCUCUUGAUCGAAGCCCCGGUAAACGGCGGCCGUAACUAUAACGGUCCUAAGGUAGCGAAAUUCCUUGUCGGGUAAGUUCCGACCUG
rnacentral:rRNA from 1 species